UGUGUAUGCAUGUAUGUGUGUAUGUAUUAAAGCAUUUUUAAUUCAACAUUACAGGAAGCUGUAAGGCGCCUCCAUAAUUCGGAUAACAACCCACAUAAAUAUGAUCCACAAACUGGUUCACCUCAUAAUCAGGCAGUGAUUACAUAUCUGCUGGAGGAAUUGAAGACAACUUUUGCAGAUGCAGACCCUGAGUGUAUAAAGGCCUAUUGCAGGACUUACUAUGAGACAUUGCAGAGGAAAUACUCUUCGUCUCAGCCAUGAAAGUCCCAGCUAAGAGACUGCAUUAAGGUCGGGGCUAAAAACCGACAAAGGAAAAGACGAUUGCUGGAGUCCAGGUCUAAGGUCAUCCAAACAGAUGCAGAGAGAGAACUGUGGCAAACUGCAAUGCUGGAACUGAUGUCCAAUGAGGAGGAUACCAUUGUUGGUGAAAGACCGGUGUGGGUUGGAAGGUCUCCACCUCACAGGAGCCCACAAUUGUCAGAGCUUUGCCAGCGGCUGCAGUGCAGACUGGAGGCGGAUAUGGGCUACGCUCUUACACACCGUCAGCGUGUAAGAGUUGAUGAAACUGAGCCAGAAGGACAUUCAUUUUUGGACCUCUAACAAGCACUGGUGCAUGUGUUUGUUUUAGUAUUGCUUUUAAUUUAAUUGCACCAUU